rnacentral:tRNA from 1 species
AGGCUUAUAGUUCAACUGGUUAGAACGUAUCGCUCAUAACGAUAAUGUUGUAGGUUCAAGCCCUACUAAGCCUA